rnacentral:rRNA from 1 species
GAGAGCGGCGUACGGGUGCGGAACACGUGUGCAACCUGCCUUUAUCUGGGGGAUAGCCUUUCGAAAGGAAGAUUAAUACCCCAUAAUAUAUUGGAUGGCAUCAUUCGGUAUUGAAAACUCCGGUGGAUAGAGAUGGGCACGCGCAAGAUUAGAUAGUUGGUGAGGUAACGGCUCACCAAGUCUGCGAUCUUUAGGGGGCCUGAGAGGGUGAUCCCCCACACUGGUACUGAGACACGGACCAGACUCCUACGGGAGGCAGCAGUGAGGAAUAUUGGACAAUGGGUGAGAGCCUGAUCCAGCCAUCCCGCGUGAAGGACGACGGCCCUAUGGGUUGUAAACUUCUUUUGUAUAGGGAUAAACCUACUCUCGUGAGAGUAGCUGAAGGUACUAUACGAAUAAGCACCGGCUAACUCCGUGCCAGCAGCCGCGGUAAU